CGAUGGCCGUCGUCAGCUCGUGUCGUGAGAUGUUGGGUUAAGUCCCGCAACGAGCGCAACCCUCGCCUCUAGUUGCCAGCAUUCGGUUGGGCACUCUAGAGGGACUGCCGGCGACAAGUCGGAGGAAGUGGGGAUGACGUCAAAUCAUCAUGCCCCUUAUGACCUGGGCUACACACGUGCUACAAUGGGCGGUACAAAGGGCUGCGAACCCGCGAGGGGGAGCGAAUCCCAAAAAGCCGCUCUCAGUUCGGAUUGCAGGCUGCAACUCGCCUGCAUGAAGCCGGAAUCGCUAGUAAUCGCGGAUCAGCAUGCCGCGGUGAAUACGUUCCCGGGCCUU
rnacentral:rRNA from 1 species